UCCCUGGAGGUCCAGUGGUUAGGACUCUGCACUUCCACUGCAGAGGCACGGGUUCGAUUCCUGGUCAAGGAA